UACAGAGGUCUCAAGCGUUGUUCGGAUUCAUUGGGCGUAAAGGGCGCGUAGGCGGCGGGGUAAGUCUGGUGUGAAAUCUCGGAGCUCAACUCCGAAAUUGCACUGGAUACUGCUCUGCUAGAGGGCUGGAGAGGAGAUCGGAAUUCACGGUGUAGCAGUGAAAUGCGUAGAUAUCGGGAGGAAGACCAAUGGCGAAGGCGGAUCUCUGGACAGCACCUGACGCUGAGGAGCGAAGGCUAGGGGAGCAAACGGG
rnacentral:rRNA from 1 species